UAAUGAUAUUUGUUUGUCUUUGAUAUUGACAGGUAUUGGUUCUAACAACGGCGGCAGCGACAACAGCACAAUCAGUGGCUUAUGUAAGUUUUGGUGUUACGUUAUCCUACAGUAGCUAUCCCCGAGCCAUGUAUACGCGCAGCGCGUAGGAGGAAGACCGUGGCGAGGGUACUUAUUCCGCUUGGCUAUUUACAACCGGAGAAAGGAAAGCAUUAGAGAAAUCUAAAAUUAAUCAAUGAUCGCGGGCGCAUGGCUAUGCAUUGGUGGUUAUCUCACUGAUCUCAAAAAUAUAGUUGUCUGCCAGGAGUGAAGGAAGCAAAGAUUAAAAAAACACAUAACAUCAAGCUUGGAGAUCUUUUUACACAAUAAGUUGCAAAUCACCCUUUCUAAGUGUAAGAAAUCCUGAUGCAUAGGGCAAGUUUCUUAGUUUGUUGUUUUUACUUUUUGCUUGAAGGCUUUGAACUGUAUGUACAACUUUCCUUACAUUCUAUGUGAAAGUUAAAUUGUUUUAAAUUUUUCAAGACCUACCUGUAGGAUUUAAAUUAUUUUAUUGCAAAGUACGAGUAAUAUUAAAGUUGAAGAGUUUUUCGCAAAAAGCAGUUAAUUUCAACAAACAUUUAAAAACGUUUUACAAAGUGGUUCGCGUUGAAUUUUGCAUUAUAAUAAAGCCCAUAUAUACAAAGCAAAAUAACAUACCUAAUUUAUAUGGGUAAGAAAUCGAUAGUUCUGUAAAACAUUAAUUUAUUUUUGCAGUUUUCAACAACAAAAAAAGAAAACAAUUAUCGUGUUGCCAGGCAACGGGACGCGAGCAACGCAAGCCUGCGUUCCGUCUUGUCGUUACAAGGGAGUUUACGAUCUGCGAGGGAGUUUACGAUCUUUACAAGGGAGUUUACGAUCUUUCAAAUAACCUUACAAAAUGCUACGUUCGGCUAAAGCGAUGCAAUGUUUGCCGUAAUUUCGACUUUUAGUAAUACCUCUUGUGUCGCAUUAAGCUUUCGCGUUGCCUGAAAGACGUAAUAAUGCUUUUUUAACGUUUUGUUGAAAAUGACAACGCGUUUGACAAUACUCAUGGGACCACAAAUUAUUGACAGUUUUUGUCUUGCAUGACAAAUUUCUUUGUAAGUUCUUUAUAGGUUUACAUGGCGAUAAAACACAUAAUACUAUUGUUUGUGGAAACACCUAAUUUCUUUGUUUUGAAAGCGCGUCGUCGAGUCGGCCGCGUCGUAGAUCGUAAACUCCCUACUAAGUACGUCAUAUUGAAAAAAAAUUGAAAAUGUGGGCGAGGGGUUGCUGCAAAGGAGGUUGGACAGCAGGCCGGAAAGCAUCAUGGUAUUGAGCGCCUAAUUCCGCGCGUGGCUUCAUUGACUGUUGACUGUCGAGGAGUAAACAUCUUUCUGACUAAACCAAUAUGGAAGCUUUCGAACGACAAGAGUGUCAGGCUGCGAUACUUUGUGAAAAGAAACAGCAUCUUAUUGCUGUAUUGUGGCGAUCAUCAUUAUGACUUGUGUUUUACUAUACCAAGUUUACCUUUUUUUAAAUUGCAUGGGACUUGCUGUCAUUUUAGCUUGAUAAAUAAUCCGUCUGAGCGAAGCCUGCGAAGGAAUUGUGUUUUUAUUCCCAAUAGCGAGGCUCUUCUUUCUAACUUGGAUGACGUUAAAUCUCCGUGUAUCAUCAAAAUGAAAACAAGCACAAUAUUUAAGGUUGGUAUACUACAAUGCAUUACAGUUAUCUUGUUAUUUAGUCAAACUAUUAUCCGCUUUGUUGUUUUUUACCUUGUACUGUAAUUUUAUAAAUACACUGUAGAAAAUUAUGGCGUAAUAUUUGUGUUUAAGGCCUGUAGAUUGACCCUAUUGUGUGUGUCUAUGUACUGUGUCACUGUGAUACAUACGUGCAUGCUUUGAGUUAAACAAAUUAUUUAACAAAAUUUUGCUGAAGUAUGAUGCCUGUUUGUAUCUAGUUGUGGAUAGAUUUUCACAUACAGUGUAUAUGUGCAUACAAUAGUUAAAUAUUUUUCAAUUUUUAUCUGUAAAAUAUUGCCAUAUUUGUGUGUUGUUCUAUAAAUAUUACUGUAUAAAAUAGUGACACACUUUUGCAUUAGAUUUCUAAUUUUAGGGAAUACAGUUUAUGUACAAAAUAAUAAAAUAAAAAUUUUCUUGUUAUGAUUUUGUAGAAAGAGAUCUACUUGAGUGGUUGGCUGGUCUUGAACCUGGUCAGCAUGGAUAUGGUAAUCAAGGUGAUAGAGCAGAAAGUAGUCAGGUGAUAGAGCAGUUAAGUGAUGAGGAUGAAAGUGACAAGGACGAAAUCACUCAUGCUGUACCAUUCAAGUGCAUCGGUGCUGCUCAUGAGAAAAAUUACCAACAUCAUUUGGAAUAGGCAUACCUUGCUCUUCAUGGACGAGAUAAACCAGUGAAUGUACGAAUACGGCCAGAGCCAUUGAAUCCAAUGGACCCAAGUGCAAGUGCAAUUGAUGUAGACUAUGGAACUGGAUGGACGCAUAUUGGUUAUAUUGCUUCUCAACUAUGCGAGUAUUUGCACCCACUAAUGGCCACAGGAGAUAUAUUAGAGGUCUAUGUUCAGCAUAUCAAGUAUAGGGUUGACUUUUUUAAAAUAAAAUUUUAUCAAAAAAUUUUCAUAAAGCGACGUGGUGAGUGGGAGAAUCAAGUGGUAAGGAAGAGCAGGAGUGUACGUUGACAGAUGUUUGUAAUAUAAUUGUAACUGACAAGGUUUAGCAAGUUAUAGAAAUGAUGUUAUUUCAAUUGGCUAACUUUUUAGAUUUUCAUAAACAAAUACUAGGUUAAUCAUAAGUGCAUGGGUGUGCACAAUUAAAAUGAAACAAUGUCUGUCAUGCACACUCAUGCAAUUAAGACAAGUACAUAAUUGUAACAUGUGCUGUACUAAAUGAAGAAAUAAGUAGUUUGUAUAUUCACUUGACCAACUUUGUGAGUAAUUUUUCAUUAAAAUUAAUGCAACAAUAAAACAAAAAUAUGUCUAUAAAGUACAUGAAAAAUAUGUCUAUUUAUAUACAUAUUGAUCAAAGGCCCACAAUAACAUACUGCUGAUACUUUGUGAUACAUUACAUGAGAAUACAAAAAAAACCUGCUUAUAAUUGCACCUAUCAAUGUCAAGCCCCAGAGAGGGGUUGGCAUAUGUGGGGUAUUAAUUUUGAUCAUUAAAUGCAUGCCACUCUGGGGAUUUUGAUUAGCAUUUCGGCCCGAGUUAGGGCAAUGUGAACCAAAAUCACUUAUAUUAAUAUAGUAUUCAUUGCAAUUUAUUGGUAGGCUGUUUGACCAAUAUUUAUUACCUAACAAUGGGGCAUUUGAUUGAAAAUGUGCUCAAAAAAUCAAAUGCCCCACAUAUGCCCGCCCCCUCUCUGGGGCUUAACAUUGAAAGAACCACCAUUUCUCAAACUUUAUCUCAGUUAGUUGUGUAACAUCAUUACAAUUAAAAUACUGUUUAAAAAAGGCCAAGUGGGCCUUUAUUGCUAUAAAGGGCAUUCUAACCAAUGGCAUCAGACCAACAUCUCCAUGGCGUUGCAGCUGUUCUCCAAAGCAUCUAGCAGUGUGAUAAAUGAGAUUGUCUUUUUUACCAGCAUCAAGUACAGACAUAGCCUUGGCAACAAGUGGGAGAAAAUUUUGAGGGACAAAUUUAGCAUCUAAACCAGGGUUAACUUUUACCAGUUAUUUUUGAAACAGGUGGAUGAGUAGUUGUUCAGAUAGUCGCUGGGUUAGUUUUGAAAAUCCAGAAGUCAUCAUACCAAUAACGUGACAUAUUAAUUAAAAAGUGAACAAGGUUUUGGUCACUCGAUGGAGAGACAAUCAUAGCAUCAGAGAUCUUGCAGAUGUAGAAAGUCUGUACAGGUUGGAAGGACCGAUUUUACCUCCAAAUUUAAUGAUGAUGCUUAAUUCUUGCAGACAAAAUCAUUGACAAAAAUGGUACCCGGACAUUUUGCCGAAAGACACUUUGCCGAAAGUCAUUUUGCCGAACGGACAUUUUGCCGACGGUCAUUUUGCCAAACGGACGUUUUGCCGAACGGAUAUUUGGCCGAACGGACAUUUUGCCGAACGGACAGUUUGCCGAAAGAACAACUUGCCAAAAAUAAAGAUGUUAUUUCGUCAAAAUGUUUGGAACUGUGACUCAUUUCUCAACUGUGUAAUUCUCAACCAUUGUGUAAAAUAACCAUUAUAUGGUCAUUAGCAGUGCAUAAUGGUCUAAUGCAGUGCAUGCAUAAUGGUCAUUAGCAGAGCAUAACGGUUGUUAGCAGUGCAUAACCAUAUUGACUAUUGGUAGCUUGUUUGUGCAGCGGAUGACUCAUUUGUUAGGAACGUGUUUUGACGUAAACAAACAAGCGUAUAUAAAGAUGGCGUAAGCGAAUUUCACUUCGAGAAUCAUGGAAUACAUUCACAGUUCUCGGGGAAAUCACAUUCAUUAAUGAUGUUGAAUGAUGUUAUUCUUUAUAUCGCGAAUUUUCGGUAAACUUGUCAAAAACGUGAAAGAAUAUAAAACGAAACUAUACCUCACUAUCAAAGUUUCUGUCAUCAAAAUCGGCAAUUAUAAUGACUGCAUGUAAUCACAGAAACUUUGACUGUGUAAGCGAACCUUUAAACUUCAGAAGAUAUUUCUAUUUUCGGCAAAAUGUCCGUUCGUCAAACUGUCCGUUCGGCAAAAUGUCCAUUCGGCAAAAUGUCCGUUCGGCAAAAUAUCCGUUCGGCAAAACGUCCGUCGGCAAAAUGUCCGUUCGGUAAAAUGUCUUUCGGCAAAAUGUCCGGCCACCGACAAAAAUAGAAUCCAGCCAAAAUCACGAAUCUCAAAUCUAAAACAUCAGCCAAACAAUAAAUUUCACUUAUAAAAUAUUGUUACGGAAGGGCUUUAAUUAUUUACACACUUUAACUGCAAUAUAUACAAUCCAUAAUAUAUCGAAACUUCUAUAAUAUAUCACACUUCUUCAGAAAAAAGCGAGCAAUAGCAGUUCAUUAUCGAUCUGAGUGACAAGGCAACAUAUUUUACAGAGGGCUAUAUUCAACGGUGAAUAUCUCGAAAACGGUUGCGGGACCGAGGGAAGCCGGCCGGAUAGAAUUAAAGAUUAUACUUUUGUUUAACUAAUCGUGAAAAAAAUAGCGAAAUCGAACCGUGGAAAUUUGAGAUUUUUGUCUUCAAAGAUUGUUGACAGAAACGCCAUUAAAUUAUAUCGCGACGGCAUAGCGCCUAAAGCGAGAGGUCAAAAUAAACUGGAAAAUAACGCUUACUUUCAAGAUACCGUUCCAAUGGGUAGAUUCACUGUUGUAAAAGUAGUAUCGCGUGAAAUUUCCAAAAAAAUGUGCAUAACAAUAUGAAAAAAGUCGAUAUUUAUGAGCCCUAUGUAAAUUUUCAAUGCCAAAAGCUUCAUGCGAGCAUGAGGAAAAUGGCGAAAUCUGAUUGGUCGAGAGAUUCCCCAGAUUUGCCUAAUUAGCUGUCCAACCUCCUCUGGGGUUGUUGCAUGCACGUACUUCUAGUAGCCUAUAUAAGGUCGUUGCGGUUUUCAAGAUUGCGGAUAUUUUUCAAUAUCGUUAACUUAAAGCGCAAAAGAAUCAACAACUUGCAGGCACUUUUAUCAAUUCUUUCGCCUUUAGGUGGCUUGCAACUACCAUAUAGCUCAAAUCUAUCCUAUCCAGUUUUGUCCAGUCCUGUUUUAAUUUUUCGUGUGUGUGAUCCUUACGAGUGCAUUCCAAAGGCUUCCGACCGUAUAUAAGGCGAUUCUUUGUUUUGAAAAUGCCUUUGACAGGGAGUGAGAACUUCGUGUGUUUUAUUUCUUGAUCUUUUUGGUUUUGAUUUUUGAAACAAUACUGCAACAAAAUCGUGAGGAUCUUAAUUUCUUUCGAAUUUCCUUCAUGAAAUAUUAACGACUAUUUUAUUACAUUUAGCAUUCCCAAUUCCUUUUGUUGUGAAGCAUGUAUUACCGGCAGUUUACUGAUUUUACUUCCAUUAUUCUCAUAUAGCAUUCGGUGUCAAGGUUGGUGUUGGUGCAGGUAUCGGUGGACUGCUUAACUUCAUUUUUUGGUGCUGGGUUUGUUACGCGUGCUGUCGUAGUAAAUAACGUUGCAAUUUAUUACAUGCAUGUUAUCUUUUUGACAAACACCGUUGCAUGCUUUUUUUAACGUUGUCUUUGUAAGAAAUACGAGUAAGUGAUAUAAUAAUCAUAAUUUAGCAACAUGUAUCAUUUAGAAUAACUUAUGGGGAUCUUUCAUUAUUUGUACCGCCUGCGGAUGAUACUUAAAACAGAAAUUCAGAGAACAAAUGUUUAACCUCAAAACAGACAAUUGCAUGAUAUUGCAUAAAGAAUAAUAUGCCUCUUUCCGAUAUAAAAAAAAACAAACCGAAGCCUUCAAGCGCAAUUUUUUCAACGCUACUUACUAUUAGCAUCACGAUUUACACUAACUAAGUUGCAGUUUACCAAUAUAAAACAAUGAUGCAUAAUAGUAAAAAUAAAUGUUACUAUAAUAUUGGAUUUAGCAAAAACGUGUUCAACCAAUCCAGGCCAAAACUGAUGAAUGGUUCCCACAAUUAAGUAAAUAAUUAUACUUAGAGUCCUAGAAAACCACAUACAUAUAUAACAAACAAUGCACAUCGCAUUAAUUUUUAAUACAUUCAAUUUAAAAAUAAAUGUGCAGAUUAAAACAAAA
rnacentral:lncRNA from 1 species